rnacentral:rRNA from 1 species
AGACCCGAAACCCGGUGAUCUAGCCAUGGGCAGGUUGAAGGUUGGGUAACACUAACUGGAGGACCGAACCGACUAAUGUUGAAAAAUUAGCGGAUGACCUGUGGCUGGGGGUGAAAGGCCAAUCAAACCGGGAGAUAGCUGGUUCUCCCCGAAAGCUAUUUAGGUAGCGCCUCGUGAACUCAUCUCCGGGGGUAGAGCACUGUUUCGGCUAGGGGGCCAUCCCGGCUUACCAACCCGAUGCAAACUGCGAAUACCGGAGAAUGUUAUCACGGGAGACACACGGCGGGUGCUAACGUCCGUCGUGAAGAGGGAAACAACCCAGACCGCCAGCUAAGGUCCCAAAGUCAUGGUUAAGUGGGAAACGAUGUGGGAAGGCCCAGACAGCCAGGAUGUUGGCUUAGAAGCAGCCAUCAUUUAAAGAAAGCGUAAUAGCUCACUGGUCGAGUCGGCCUGCGCGGAAGAUGUAACGGGGCUAAACCAUGCACCGAAGCUGCGGCAGCGAACGUAUCACCCAAGACAACUUUGCGGAGUUGACGAUUGACGGAGCGAAGCGACGUCAAAGCGUUCAUUAAAGUCGAGUUGGCUUAGGGAUACGUUCGUUGGGUAGGGGAGCGUUCUGUAAGCCAGUGAAGGUGUGUCGUGAGGCAUGCUGGAGGUAUCAGAAGUGCGAAUGCUGACAUAAGUAACGAUAAAGCGGGUGAAAAGCCCGCUCGCCGGAAGACCAAGGGUUCCUGUCCAACGUUAAUCGGGGCAGGGUGAGUCGACCCCUAAGGCGAGGCCGAAAGGCGUAGUCGAUGGGAAACGGGUUAAUAUUCCCGUACUUGGUGUUACUGCGAAGGGGGGACGGAGAAGGCUAUGUUGGCCGGGCGACGGUUGUCCCGGUUUAAGCGUGUAGGUGUGUGUUCCAGGUAAAUCCGGUUCACUUUAACACUGAGGCGUGACGACGAGGCACUACGGUGCUGAAGUAACAAAUGCCCUGCUUCCAGGAAAAGCCUCUAAGCAUCAGGUAACAUCAAAUCGUACCCCAAACCGACACAGGUG